GACGAAGGGGGCUAGCGUUGUUCGGAAUUACUGGGCGUAAAGCGCCCGUAGGCGGCCUGACAAGUUGGACGUGAAAGCUCCUGGCUUAACUGGGAGAGGCCGUUCAAAACUGUCAAGCUAGAGUCUGGAAGAGGAGAGCGGAAUUCCCGGUGUAGUGGUGGAAUGCGUAGAGAUCGGGAGGAACACCAGUGGCGAAAGCGGCUCUCUGGUCCAAAACUGACGCUGAGGGGCGAAAGCGUGGGGAGCGAACGGG
rnacentral:rRNA from 1 species